rnacentral:antisense_RNA from 1 species
CGCCCACAGCCCGGCCCGAGUCGCGGGGCCCGAGCGACAGCGACGGCGCCGGCCGGGGCCGCGGCGCGCGGAAGCCACUUUGCACGGUCAGCGCCGGGCACAAGUUUGUUCCGCGGCUCCCGGGGGCCUGGGCGCUGAGGGAGAAUCGCGCUGAGGUGGCCAGGAGGAGGGGGAGAGGGAGGCGCCGAAGGGCACAAGAGUGGGGAAAAGUGCGGAAAGAAGCAACAGCCGCUCCACCCGGGACCAGAAAAGUGGCCAGCGCGUCCCGGCCGCCCGCCCUGCGCCGGGGAUGCGGCGGCGCCGGCGCCGGCUAACGGUCCAGGGAGGCGGCAGGGGCGGCGGGAGCCGCUAGGCGGAGAGAGACCAGGGACGCCUGGUUUCCCCCCAAGCGAACCGGGAUGGGAAGUGACUUCAAUGAGAUUGAACUUCAGCUGGAUUGAAAGAGAGGCUAGAAGU